UAUUUUUGGAAAGAAAAGAGAAAUGUUGAUGAAAACAGUCGAACUUAGCUGCCAUCUCUUACAACAUCUGUAGUAUCCGUGAGAGAAAUCGACGAUAGAUCCAGGUGAACAGAAAAUCAAUCAAAACAAACCUAAAACAUUCGUACCCAACCCUGAAUUCAUCUUGAGUGACUGAAAAUGGUGAACUUUUUGUGCUGAGUUGGUUGAUUUCCAUGGAGAUUUGGAAGUAAUUGAAAAAGGGGCUUUUUUAUUCUUGAGCAAUGAAUUGAAGGUUGUAUUGUUUGAAUAGGUGUCUCUGAUUUCAGUUAGCGGAUUGUGAAGAUUGAGGUUUGGGUAACGGUUUGAGGUAGCUUUGAUGUAAGUGGUGUUGAUUCGGUCGAAGGAGAAAUUGACGUUUGGGUCGAUUAAGUGGACUUAACUUGUGCUCUUGUGAGAUCGUUGCUGAUCUCAGUGUUUUUUUUUUUUUUUUUGCAGACUUGUAACUUUCUGAAGGUGCUUUCUUUUUUUUUGAGUAUUUUGUAUGUAAGCUAAUCUCUAACUCUUGGUUGUGUAUAUUGUGUAUAAUGUAUAUUACAAACAACACACUGUAAAACUAGAUGUUUAUGUAUAAUGUGAAAAAGUGUAGUUUAUGUC